AUUCUAUUCUCUCAAGAUUUCUCUAUUUUUCUGUGAUGGUUAAUAUUGUGUCAAAUCGAUUGGAUUGAAGGCGAGGUUAAUUAAAUCCUGUUGUGGGGGUUGAGGGCCGGAAUUUAAUUUUUGGAGUUUUAUUUAAUGUCGGUAGCAGAUUGGUGAAGGAGGCAAGCCCUGAGAAAAGAGUAGAGACACGGAGAAGGGGUGGGGGGUUCUUGCCCUCCAGAAAAGCAGAGAAGGGGUUGGGGCACGGAAAUAAGAGGUCAGGGUGCAGAAAUAAGGGAUUGGGGCACAGAGAUGAGGUUGGGGUGCGGAAAUAAGCGAUUGGGGGGUUCUUGCCCCCUAGGAAAGCGGGACUUGCCGCUGAGGGUGAAGGAGAAGGGUUUGAGGGGUACUUGCCCCUGCCCCAGGAAAAUGGGACUUGCCGCUAAGGGUGAACGAGAAGGGGUUGAGGGGUACUUGCCCCUGCCCCAGGAAAGCGGGACUUGCCGCUGAGGAUGAAGGAGAAGGGGUUGAGGGGUAC
rnacentral:lncRNA from 1 species